rnacentral:tRNA from 1 species
GCCUUCGUGUUGUAGUGGUCAGCACGCUCGACGCGUAACUGAGAGGUCCGUGGUUCGAUUCCCGGCGAAGGCG